rnacentral:rRNA from 1 species
UACAGAGGUCUCGAGCGUUAGGCGGAAUCACUGGUCUUAAAGCGUGUGUAGGCGGAUCGUUAAGUGCCUUGUGAAAUCCCACGGCUCAACCGUGGAACUGCUUGGCAUACUGGCGGUCUUGAGCAACCUAGGGGCGAGCGGAACAAAUGGUGGAGCGGUGAAAUGCGUAGAUAUCAUUUGGAACGCCAAUGGUGAAAACAGCUCGCUGGGGGUGUGCCGACGCUGAGACGCGAAAGCCAGGGGAGCAAACGGG